rnacentral:lncRNA from 12 species
UUUUUGUUAAGUAUAAAUUGCUGUAUAACACAUACAAGGUGAAAGUGGUCAUACUGACUAUAGAGUAUUUUACAAAACCACUAUAUGACUGCAGACAAAGAAUAGAAAAGAAAAAGGAAAAAGUGGGAAACAUGGAUUCAGGACAAAGGGAUCUGAUAAUAGAAGAUAUGUGAGAUCAAUCAGAGACCAAGAGAUGAAGCUUCUGGAAAAUAUGUGAGACUGACAUGUGUUACUUCAGCCUCAAGUAAUUGGAGAUUCCCUGACUGACUAGUGAGACUGAAGUGAAUAGUGAG